CCCGCUGAACUUAAGCAUAUCAAUAAGCGGAGGAAAAGAAACUAACAAGGAUUCCCCUAGUAACUGCGAGUGAAGCGGGAAAAGCUCAAAUUUAAAAUCUGGCGGUCUUUGGCUGUCCGAGUUGUAAUCUAGAGAAGUGUUAUCCGCGCUGGACCGUGUACAAGUCUCCUGGAAUGGAGCAUCAUAGAGGGUGAGAAUCCCGUCUUUGACAUGGACUGCCAGGGCUUUGUGAUGCGCUCUCAAAGAGUCGAGUUGUUUGGGAAUGCAGCUCAAAAUGGGUGGUAAAUUCCAUCUAAAGCUAAAUAUUGGCGAGAGACCGAUAGCGAACAAGUACCGUGAGGGAAAGAUGAAAAGAACUUUGGAAAGAGAGUUAAACAGUACGUGAAAUUGCUGAAAGGGAAACGCUUGAAGUCAGUCGCGUCGUCCAGGGAUCAACCUUGCUUUUGCUUGGUGCACUUUCUGGUUCGAUGGGUCAGCAUCAAUUUUGACUGUUGGAAAAAGGUCAAGGGAAUGUGGCAUCUUUGGAUGUGUUAUAGCCCUUGGUCACAUACAAUGGUUGGGAUUGAGGAACUCAGCACGCCGCAAGGCCGGGUUUUAAACCACGUAUGUGCUUAGGAUGCUGGCAAUAUGGCUUUAAUCGACCCGUCUUGAAACACGG
rnacentral:rRNA from 1 species